AGUCCAUGAUGGGGAUAAAGCCUCGACAUAUCCUUGUAUAUCUCCCAUGCUUCAAAAAGAGAUUCAUUGUCUUUCUGCCUUGUUAAGUCUGACAUAUUGUGAUU